rnacentral:rRNA from 1 species
AUAGGUUUGAUCCUGGCUCAGGACGAACGCUGGCGGCGUGCUUAACACAUGCAAGUCGAACGGAAAGGCCCUUCGGGGUGCUCGAGUGGCGAACGGGUGAGUAACACGUGGGUGAUCUGCCCUGCACUUUGGGAUAAGCCUGGGAAACUGGGUCUAAUACCGAAUAGGACCACGCGCUUCAUGGUGUGUGGUGGAAAGCUUUUGCGGUGUGGGAUGGGCCCGCGGCCUAUCAGCUUGUUGGUGGGGUAAUGGCCUACCAAGGCGACGACGGGUAGCCGGCCUGAGAGGGUGACCGGCCACACUGGGACUGAGAUACGGCCCAGACUCCUACGGGAGGCAGCAGUGGGGAAUAUUGCACAAUGGGCGCAAGCCUGAUGCAGCGACGCCGCGUGAGGGAUGACGGCCUUCGGGUUGUAAACCUCUUUCAAUAGGGACGAAGCGCAAGUGACGGUACCUAUAGAAGAAGCACCGGCCAACUACGUGCCAGCAGCCGCGGUAAUACGUAGGGUGCGAGCGUUGUCCGGAAUUACUGGGCGUAAAGAGCUCGUAGGUGGUUUGUCGCGUUGUUCGUGAAAACUCACAGCUUAACUGUGGGCGUGCGGGCGAUACGGGCAGACUAGAGUACUGCAGGGGAGACUGGAAUUCCUGGUGUAGCGGUGGAAUGCGCAGAUAUCAGGAGGAACACCGGUGGCGAAGGCGGGUCUCUGGGCAGUAACUGACGCUGAGGAGCGAAAGCGUGGGGAGCGAACAGGAUUAGAUACCCUGGUAGUCCACGCCGUAAACGGUGGGUACUAGGUGUGGGUUCCUUCCUUGGGAUCCGUGCCGUAGCUAACGCAUUAAGUACCCCGCCUGGGGAGUACGGCCGCAAGGCUAAAACUCAAAGGAAUUGACGGGGGCCCGCACAAGCGGCGGAGCAUGUGGAUUAAUUCGAUGCAACGCGAAGAACCUUACCUGGGUUUGACAUGCACAGGACGCCGGCAGAGAUGUCGGUUCCCUUGUGGCCUGUGUGCAGGUGGUGCAUGGCUGUCGUCAGCUCGUGUCGUGAGAUGUUGGGUUAAGUCCCGCAACGAGCGCAACCCUUGUCCUAUGUUGCCAGCGGGUUAUGCCGGGGACUCGUAGGAGACUGCCGGGGUCAACUCGGAGGAAGGUGGGGAUGACGUCAAGUCAUCAUGCCCCUUAUGUCCAGGGCUUCACACAUGCUACAAUGGCCGGUACAAAGGGCUGCGAUGCCGUGAGGUGGAGCGAAUCCUUUCAAAGCCGGUCUCAGUUCGGAUCGGGGUCUGCAACUCGACCCCGUGAAGUCGGAGUCGCUAGUAAUCGCAGAUCAGCAACGCUGCGGUGAAUACGUUCCCGGGCCUUGUACACACCGCCCGUCACGUCAUGAAAGUCGGUAACACCCGAAGCCGGUGGCCUAACCCUUGUGGAGGGAGCCGUCGAAGGUGGGAUCGGCGAUUGGGACGAAGUCGUAACAAGGUAGCCGUAAAU